CGCAGGCGCAGCUCCGCCAAGGCGGGAAAUUUCAAACCUCUGCUCCACCCUCCGCAGGUCCCGCGGUUGCAGCUGACGUGGGCGCUGCGCGCUCUUCUGGGCAGCUGUCUGCGCAGUUCGGUGGUUUCGCAUCCUCCCCAAAGACCCGACUUUGGUUUGGCUCUGACUUCGAGUCCCUGACGCUGGUGGCGAGCGAGGGUCUCUGCUCUGUGAAGAGUCUCCCUGUGUGUUUCGGCUGAACUGUCCAUUCAUCUUCAAGCCAUUAUGAGCUCUAAGAAACGCAGAUCGCAGAAGGCCUCAUCCACUUUAAAGAAUAUCAAGAAAAUUGACCAGUAUUUUCCUCAGGUAUGUUUGUAACUACUCUUUAUGGAAUAUACCGAUAAUAGACUUAGCCAUUCUUGACACUGGGUUACAUAGUCUUCAUGCCAAGAAAUCACCUCAUUAUAUGUAGGGAAUAUUAAAUAAAUUAAAAUCUUUCACAUCCAUCUUAUUUUCAUUUUGGAGAGUGGCAGCAAAAAGGAGUUUUAAUAAAAAUCUUGGCCAUCAUAUCAAAUAGCUUUAACCAAAAGCUAUUAUAACAUUUCCUGAACAACAAGAACAAAUCAAAUAUAACGUAUUACAGUAAAACAUGGAUUAACAUGAAAUUAGUGUUAUUUCAGAGCUUGAAAAUAUCUACCAUGCAAAUAUGGCCAAUCUAUUUGAUAACAAUAAAAACCUACAUUUGUAUAGUGCAUUACAGUUUAUAAAACAAUUU